rnacentral:rRNA from 1 species
UACGUAGGGUGCGAGCGUUAAUCGGAAUUACUGGGCGUAAAGCGUGCGCAGGCGGUGGCUCAAGCCAGGCGUGAAAUCCCCGGGCUUAACCUGGGAAUGGCGUUUGGGACUGGGUCGCUAGAGUGUGGCAGAGGGAGGUGGAAUUCCACGUGUAGCAGUGAAAUGCGUAGAGAUGUGGAGGAACACCGAUGGCGAAGGCAGCCCCCUGGGCUAACACUGACGCUCGUGCACGAAAGCGUGGGGAGCAAACAGG